GUUCAACUUUUCCUCAGCUCAGGCCUCGAUGAAUCUCCACCAAUUGUAACUGUGGAUUCAUAACUAAUUUACGUGGCAUGAGUAUCUUUCUUGAAAAGCAGAGCUGAGGGACACACAUAUGACUCUGGCUUAACCUAGGGCCUGAACACUCUGACAGGUUUAGGUGCUUUCCCAAGAGAGGAAGGUUGAGAUAAAGGAUUUAUUCUGUAAUUAUUGGUUAGGAGAUGACCAUGUGACCAAAUUACCAUUUAUCUGUGUACAUUAGAUGCAGCAAUGUAAAACCUCAGUGCACUGGAUUUGAAAUCUCUUCAAAAAGACCUUUGGAGUGGAAAGAAAGAGAAAACAAGGGGAAUGCCCAGCUUCAUAAAACGGUGUUCAGACCUAGUGUUUGAAGCACAUGCAGGAUUAAGGAGGGUUUAGGACGUAAGAACCCUCCUCAUUGAAUGACCAUCUACAACUACUAUCAGUGACCAUCAACAACUUCUACCAGUGACCAUCUACAACUUCAACCAGUGACCAUCUUCAACUUCUGCCAGUGACCGUUUACAACGGCUACCAGUGACCGUCUACAACUUUUACCAGUGAACAUCUACAACUUCUACCAGUGACCAUCUACAACUUCUACCAGUGACCAUCUACAACUUCUACCAGUGACCAUCUACAACUUCUACCAGUGACCAUCUACAACUUCUACCAGUGACCAUCUACAACUUCUAACGGUGACCAUCUACAACUUCUACCAGUGACCAUCUACAACUUCUACCAGUGACCAUCUACAACUUCUACCGGUGACCAUCUACAACUUCUACCAGUGACCAUCUACAACUUCUACUAGUGACCAUCUACAACUUCUACCAGUGACCAUCUACAACUUCUACCAGUGACCAUCUACAACUUCUACCAGUGACCAUCUACAACUUCCACCAGUGACCAUCUACAACUUCUACCAGUGACAAUCUACAACUUCUACCACUGACCAUCUACAACUUCUACCACUGACCAUUUACAACUACUAUCAGUGACUAGUGUUGCUCGCGAAUAUUCGCAAUGCAAAUUUUAUUCACAAAUAUCGCAUAUUCGCGAAUUCACAAAUAUUCGCGAAUAUAGCACUAUAUAUUCUUAAUUACGAAUAUUCAUUUUUUUUUUUUUUCACAGUACACAUCACAGUGAUCACCCCUCUCUGCUUCCAGCUUGUGUGGUGUAAAGAAGGCUCUAAUACUACUGUGUGAGACUGGUGCUCGAAUUUUCACAUAUGAGUCUAGCAUUGUUAAAGGGG